GAAUAUUGGACAAUGGGGGGAACCCUGAUCCAGCCAUGCCGCGUGUGUGAAGAAGGCCUUUUGGUUGUAAAGCCCUUUAAGCGAGUAGGCGGCUACUUCGAUUACUCCUCUAGGCUAGUGGACGUUACUCGCAUGAUAAGCACCGGCUAACUUUGUCCCAGCUGCCGCGGUAAUACAGAGGGUGCAAGCGUUAAUCGGAUGUACUGGGCGUAAAGCGCGCGUAGGUGGCCAAUUAAGUCAAAUGUGAAAUCCCCGAGCUUAACUUGGGAAUUGCAUUCGAUACUGGUUGGCUAGAGUAUGGGAGAGGAUGGUAGAAUUCCAGGUGUAGCGGUGAAAUGCGUAGAGAUCUGGAGGAAUACCGAUGGCGAAGGCAGCCAUCUGGCCUAAUACUGACACUGAGGUGCGAAAGCAUGGGGAGCAAACA
rnacentral:rRNA from 1 species